rnacentral:rRNA from 1 species
UACGGGGGGGGCAAGCGUUGUUCGGAAUUACUGGGCGUAAAGGGCGCGUAGGCGGCUUUUCAAGUCGGGCGUGAAAUCUCCGGGCUUAACCCGGAAGGGUCGUUCGAUACUGUUGAGCUAGAGUGUGGAGGAGGCAACUAGAAUUCCGUGUGUAGCGGUGAAAUGCGUAGAUAUACGGAGGAAUACCUGAGGCGAAGGCGGGUUGCUGGGCCAACACUGACGCUGAGGCGCGAAAGCCAGGGGAGCAAACGGG